UACGAAGGGGGCUAGCGUUGCUCGGAAUUAUUGGGCGUAAAGGGCGCGUAGGCGGUGCGGUAAGUCUGCGGUGAAAUCUCCCGGCUCAACUGGGAGGCUGCCGUGGAAACUGCCGUGCUUGAGUGUGGGAGAGGUGAGUGGAAUUCCAGGUGUAGCGGUGAAAUGCGUAGAUAUCUGGAGGAACACCGGUGGCGAAGGCGGCAUCCUGGACCGGCAUUGACGCUGAGGAGCGAAAGCGUGGGGAGCGAACAGG
rnacentral:rRNA from 1 species